AUAUACCAACCGAUUGUGCUUCGGCGUUAUGUAAGCAAUGGAAUAUAGAGAGAUAAGGUAUAUGUCAAGUUGAGAUUCAAGUCGAACAACUGUCAAGUCUAAGUCGUAUACAUUGGCUAUGAUAUUGAUAGCGUGCUAUGGUGAACAUUGAUGGGAAAGUCAACCCUUUGGAACCCUAAAAUCUUUGAUCUGAAGUCGACAAACUUCACGUUCACAAAUUAUGCAGCUUAACCAACAAAUUACUUGAGGAGGUGGAGGCCCUUUAUUCGAGCCUGGCCUACAGCUUAACCUAGAAAGUGACAUAACCAAGAUUUCUCCAAAAGCAAAAGAAAACCAAAAAAUUUGCAUACUGCUCUGUUUUUCUUCAAGCGUAGCCUUGAUCAUAAGCUAAGAUCGGAGAAGCAGACGAAUUGGUAAGCUGAAGGUGCCAUGGCGAUGGAGAUACUCACUGCAAUUAUUCCUACAAUAAUUGACUACACAGUUAGACCACUUGGACGGCAAGUGAGUUAUGUCAUUUUCUACAACAGCAACCUUAAAGAUCUAAGGAGUACAUUGAAGAAUUUUGAUGCUGUGAAACAAAGGAUGAACCAUGCAGUUGAAGAAGUCGAAAGAAAAGUUAAUGAAAAAGUGGAAGUUGAUGUCCGGAACUGGCAGACAGAAGCAGAUGAGAUCUCUCGAGAGGCAG